CAGCAGCCGCGGUAAUACGAAGGGUGCAAGCGUUAAUCGGAAUUACUGGGCGUAAAGCGUGCGUAGGCGGUUUGUUAAGUCUGUUGUGAAAUCCCCGGGCUCAACCUGGGAAUGGCAAUGGAUACUGGCGAGCUAGAGUGUGUCAGAGGAUGGUGGAAUUCCCGGUGUAGCGGUGAAAUGCGUAGAGAUGUGGAGGAACACCGAUGGCGAAGGCAGCCCCCUGGGCCAAUACUGACGCUCAUGCACGAAAGCGUGGGGAGCAAACAGGAUUAGAGACCCCCGUAGUCCCUGUCUCUUAUAC
rnacentral:rRNA from 1 species